ACCUUUUCAGGGCUAUGUUGCUUCAUUAAACCCCAAUUGGAUGUCCUUAAAAUGGUGGGCCCAUAUUAUUUAAACCACUUUCCGCCACGGAUCCCUUGGCUCUCGGAUCGAUGAAGAACGCAGCGAAAUGCCAUAAGUAAUGGGAAUUGCAGAAUUCAGUGAAUCAACCAAUCCUUGAACGGACCCUGCGCUCCCUGGUAUUCCCAGGAGCCUGCCUGGUUGAAUGUCAAUAAUAUAACCCCCAACCUUUCUUUUGGUGAAGGGGUUGGAAGUGGGGGUUUGCUGGCCCCCUUAAGAAGAUCAGCUUCCCCGAAAUGCAUUAACCAAACCACCUUGGUCCAUGGGGUGAUAACUAACCUCGCUUAAGUAUGUGAAGGGC
rnacentral:rRNA from 1 species